rnacentral:rRNA from 1 species
CCUACGGUGGGCAGCAGUCGAGAAUCAUUCACAAUGGGCGAAACCCUGAUGGUGCGACGCCGCGUGGGGGAAUGAAGGUCUUCGGAUUGUAAACCCCUGUCAUGUGGGAGCAAAUUAAAAAGUUAGUACCACAAGAGGAAGAGACGGCUAACUCGGUGCCAGCAGCCGCGGUAAUACAGAGGUCUCAAGCGUUGUUCGGAAUCACUGGGCGUAAAGCGUGCGUAGGCUGUUUCGUAAGUCGUGUGUGAAAGGCGCGGGCCCAACCCGCGGACGGCACAUGAUACUGCGAGACUAGAGUAAUGGAGAGGGAGCCGGAAUUCUCGGUGUAGCAGUGAAAUGCGUAGAUAUCGGGAGGAACACUCGUGGCGAAGGCGGGUUCCUGGACAUUAACUGACGCUGAGGCACGAAGGCCAGGGGAGCGAAAGGGAUUAGAUACCCGGGUAGUC